GACGAACGCUGGCGGCGUGCUUAACACAUGCAAGUCGAACGGAAAGGCCCUGCUUUUGUGGGGUGCUCGAGUGGCGAACGGGUGAGUAACACGUGAGUAACCUGCCCUUGACUUUGGGAUAACUUCAGGAAACUGGGGCUAAUACCGGAUAGGAGCUCCUGCUGCAUGGUGGGGGUUGGAAAGUUUCGGCGGUUGGGGAUGGACUCGCGGCUUAUCAGCUUGUUGGUGGGGUAGUGGCUUACCAAGGCCUUGACGGGUAGCCGGCCUGAGAGGGUGACCGGCCACAUUGGGACUGAGAUACGGCCCAGACUCCUACGGGAGGCAGCAGUGGGGAAUAUUGCACAAUGGGCGGAAGCCUGAUGCAGCAACGCCGCGUGCGGGAUGACGGCCUUCGGGUUGUAAACCGCUUUCGCCUGUGACGAAGCGUGAGUGACGGUAAUGGGUAAAGAAGCACCGGCUAACUACGUGCCAGCAGCCGCGGUGAUACGUAGGGUGCGAGCGUUGUCCGGAUUUAUUGGGCGUAAAGGGCUUGUAGGUGGUUGAUCGCGUCGGAAGUGUAAUCUUGGGGCUUAACCCUGAGCGUGCUUUCGAUACGGGUUGACUUGAGGAAGGUAGGGGAGAAUGGAAUUCCUGGUGGAGCGGUGGAAUGCGCAGAUAUCAGGAGGAACACCAGUGGCGAAGGCGGUUCUCUGGGCCUUUCCUGACGCUGAGGAGCGAAAGCGUGGGGAGCGAACAGGCUUAGAUACCCUGGUAGUCCACGCUGUAAACGGUGGGUACUAGGUGUGGGGUCCAUUCCACGGGUUCCGUGCCGUAGCUAACGCUUUAAGUACCCCGCCUGGGGAGUACGGCCGCAAGGCUAAAACUCAAAGGAAUUGACGGGGCCCCGCACAAGCGGCGGAGCAUGCGGAUUAAUUCGAUGCAACGCGUAGAACCUUACCUGGGUUUGACAUGGAUCGGGAGCGCUCAGAGAUGGGUGUGCCUCUUUUGGGGUCGGUUCACAGGUGGUGCAUGGCUGUCGUCAGCUCGUGCCGUGAGAUGUUGGGUUAAGUCCCGCAACGAGCGCAACCCUUGUUCACUGUUGCCAGCACGUUAUGGUGGGGACUCAGUGGAGACCGCCGGGGUCAACUCGGAGGAAGGUGGGGAUGACGUCAAGUCAUCAUGCCCCUUAUGUCCAGGGCUUCACGCAUGCUACAAUGGCUGGUACAGAGAGUGGCGAGCCUGUGAGGGUGAGCGAAUCUCGGAAAGCCGGUCUCAGUUCGGAUUGGGGUCUGCAACUCGACCUCAUGAAGUCGGAGUCGCUAGUAAUCGCAGAUCAGCAACGCUGCGGUGAAUACGUUCCCGGGGCU
rnacentral:rRNA from 1 species